AGGAAGUAAAAGUCGUAACAAGGUCUCCGUUGGUGAACCAGCGGAGGGAUCAUUACCGAGUUUA
rnacentral:rRNA from 1 species